UUACCUACGGGGGGCUGCAGUGGGGAAUUUUGGACAAUGGGCGCAAGCCUGAUCCAGCAAUGCCGCGUGCAGGAAGAAGGCCUUCGGGUUGUAAACUGCUUUUGUACGGAACGAAACGGUCCUGGUUAAUACCUGGGGCUAAUGACGGUACCGUAAGAAUAAGCACCGGCUAACUACGUGCCAGCAGCCGCGGUAAUACGUAGGGUGCAAGCGUUAAUCGGAAUUACUGGGCGUAAAGCGUGCGCAGGCGGUUUUGUAAGACAGGCGUGAAAUCCCCGGGCUCAACCUGGGAAUUGCGCUUGUGACUGCAAGGCUGGAGUGCGGCAGAGGGGGAUGGAAUUCCGCGUGUAGCAGUGAAAUGCGUAGAUAUGCGGAGGAACACCGAUGGCGAAGGCAAUCCCCUGGGCCUGCACUGACGCUCAUGCACGAAAGCGUGGGGAGCAAACAGGAUUAGAUACCCUAGUAGUCU
rnacentral:rRNA from 1 species